rnacentral:tRNA from 2 species
UCCCAGCUCGUCUAGUGGUCAAGAUACGGCACUUUCAUCCCAGUCAACGCUCCCCGAGGAGGAGGCGACGAUGUUCUGCUGAGACCGGGGUUCGAUUCCCCGGCCGGGAG